UCAUGAUGAACGCUGGCGGCGUGCCUAAUACGUGCAAGUCGAGCGAUGAGGCUCCUUCGGGAGUACAUCAGCGGCGAACGGGUGAGUAACACGUGGGUGACUUGCCCCGAAGAUGGGGAUAACCUCUGGAAACGGGGGCUAAUACCCAAUGUGCUCGGUGAUUCGGUUCAUCGAGUAAAGCUCCGGCGCUUCGGGAGAGGCCUGCGGCCCAUCAGCUAGUUGGUAGGGUAACGGCCUACCAAGGCAGAGACGGGUAGGGGGCGUGAGAGCGCGGACCCCCACACUGGCACUGAGAUACGGGCCAGACUCCUACGGGAGGCAGCAGUAAGGGAUAUUGCGCAAUGGACGAAAGUCAGACGCAGCGACGCCGCGUGGGCGAUGAAGGCCUUCGGGUUGUAAAGCCCUUUUAUGGGGGAAGAGAAAAAGGACGGUACCCCAGGAAUAAGUCCCGGCUAACUACGUGCCAGCAGCCGCGGUAAAACGUAGGGGACAAGCGUUAUCCGGAUUCACUGGGCGUAAAGAGCGUUGAGGCGGUUCCGUAAGUUGGGCGUGAAAGCUCCGGGCUUAACUCGGAGAUGUCGUUCAAUACUGCGGGGCUUGAGGACAGCAGAGGAAGGUGGAAUUCCCGGUGUAGUGGUGAAAUGCGUAGAUAUCGGGAGGAACACCCGUGGCGAAGGCGGCCUUCUGGGCUGUUCCUGACGCUGAAGGCGAAAGCUAGGGGAGCGGACGGGAUUAGAUACCCCGGUAGUCCUAGCUGUAAACGAUGGAUGCUGGGUGUGGGGGGUGUAAAUUCCCUCUGUGCCGAAGCAAAACGCGUUAAGCAUCCCGNCUGGGGACUACGGCCGCAAGGCUAAAACUCCAACGAAUUUGACGGGGGCCCGCACAAGCAGCGGAGCGUGUG
rnacentral:rRNA from 1 species